UGGGGAAUCUUGCACAAUGGGCGAAAGCCUGAUGCAGCGACGCCGCGUGAAGGAUGAAGGCCUUCGGGUUGUAAACUUCUUUUGCAGGGGAAGAUAAUGACGGUACCCUGCGAAUAAGCCACGGCUAACUCUGUG
rnacentral:rRNA from 1 species